GGCUACCUUAAUGAGCAGCCAGGAUGCCAUCAUCUCCGACCUGAAUGACAAUAACCUCCAAACCAGCCUUUGUAUACUCCUUCCUGCUGCUCUGCAGUCCACUUCCACAGACCAGCCAACUGAAUCUCCUUAUAGAUUCAUAAUGGCCAUCAGCACAAAGAUGUUUUAUCUGCAGUCAACCAGUCAUGUUUCAUGAUGGCAUCAAAAUGUGCUGGAAAAGGUCAGAGAAAAUCAUCAUCAUAAAGUGAAGUGAUUUUCUUCUUUAUGAGCUCCUGAUGUAAACAGACUGAUGAGCACAACACAAUCCUUACUCACCCACAUGACAUCAUACACAAUCACAGCUAAAUGUUUCUAUCUGUCAAAGCCUGAAGAGUGACUACCAGAUUGUUGCCUGAUUGCUAAGAAUUGAUGCUUGUUCAACUGGGAUCUAUCCAGAGAAACAUAAUCCACUUCAAGAAUUUUCUGAAAAGGGAAUCUAAUGCAAGGAAUUAAUUGCAAAGAUGAUGCAAUAUCUGAGAACGAUAGAUUUGACAGUUUGGUCUACAUUUCAAGGCUGGUUAGAUGGGAGGAGGAAGACUAAGUGCUCUGCCUUAACUCAGGCCAGGCUGUGGGCGCAAGUGCACCAACGGCUUUGAGACUAACACACAGCUCAGAACAAGGUAUGACAAGUGAAGGAGGAAAGAAAG
rnacentral:lncRNA from 1 species